rnacentral:rRNA from 1 species
GAUGAACGCUGGCGGCGUGCUUAACACAUGCAAGUCGAACGAAGCGCUUUAUUUGAUUUCCUUCGGGACUGAUUAUUUUGUGACUGAGUGGCGGACGGGUGAGUAACGCGUGGGUAACCUGCCUUGUACAGGGGGAUAACAGUUGGAAACGGCUGCUAAUACCGCAUAAGCGCACAGCAUCGCAUGAUGCAGUGUGAAAAACUCCGGUGGUAUAAGAUGGACCCGCGUUGGAUUAGCUAGUUGGUGAGGUAACGGCCCACCAAGGCGACGAUCCAUAGCCGACCUGAUAGGGUGACCGGCCACAUUGGGACUGAGACACGGCCCAAACUCCUACGGGAGGCAGCAGUGGGGAAUAUUGCACAAUGGGCGAAAGCCUGAUGCAGCGACGCCGCGUGAGCGAAGAAGUAUUUCGGCAUGUAAAGCUCUAUCAGCAGGGAAGAUAAUGACGUUACCUGACUAAGAAGCACCGGCUAAAUACGUG